GACGAACGCNGGCGGCGUGCUUAACACAUGCAAGUCGAACGAAGAGCGAUGGAAGCUUGCUUCUAUCAAUCUUAGUGGCGAACGGGUGAGUAACGCGUAAUCAACCUGCCCUUCAGAGGGGGACAACAGUUGGAAACGACUGCUAAUACCGCAUACGAUCUAACCUCGGCAUCGAGGAUAGAUGAAAGGUGGCCUCUACAUGUAAGCUAUCACUGAAGGAGGGGAUUGCGUCUGAUUAGCUAGUUGGAGGGGUAACGGCCCACCAAGGCGAUGAUCAGUAGCCGGUCUGAGAGGAUGAACGGCCACAUUGGGACUGAGACACGGCCCAGACUCCUACGGGAGGCAGCAGUGGGGAAUCUUCCGCAAUGGACGAAAGUCUGACGGAGCAACGCCGCGUGAGUGAUGACGGCCUUCGGGUUGUAAAGCUCUGUUAAUCGGGACGAAAGGCCUUCUUGCGAAUAGUGAGAAGGAUGACG
rnacentral:rRNA from 1 species